GAGGGGACGGUGGGCUGGGCGGGGCGGGAAACGUUAGGCCAGCGGCCCCCGGGGUACGGGGGUCGAGCGGGCGGGGAGGGCCCGAGGCGAGCUCUGCCCGGAUGAGGAACAAAGCGGUGGGGCAGGCGCGCGCGCCCCCCGCGCGGCCGGCAGGUUGGGCGGCCCCCCUCCCGAAGCUUCUGGAGGAAAAGCCCCGGGUGACCCCCGUCAUGCCCCAUCUCGCGGCAGGGUGCGCGGCCGCAGGCCCUCGGGAGAAGUUGGGCGGCCCCGGGCGGCCGCGGGGCCGAGUGGCCGCGUUUGUGCAGCGGUUGUAAGGAAGAUGCGGUAGCACGUGACCCUGGAACGCAAUCCCUGAUGCCGGUUCCCCGCCACCCGUGUGUUCUUUUCUCUGACGCUUGGCCCCAAGCAGAUGCAUCACAGGAUGAAUGAAAUGAACCUGAGUCCAGUGGGGAUGGAGCAGCUGACUUCAUCCUCUGUGAGCAAUGCCUUGCCAGUCUCAGGGAGUCAUUUAGGGUUGGCUGCUUCACCCACUCACAAUGCCAUCCCUGCCCCGGGCCUGCCAGUGGCGAUUCCAAAUUUGGGUCCCUCCCUGAGCUCUUUGCCUUCUGCUUUGUCUCUGAUGCUCCCAAUGGGUAUUGGGGAUCGAGGGGUGAUGUGCGGGUUGCCCGAAAGAAACUACACCCUACCUCCACCACCUUACCCCCACCUGGAGAGCAGUUACUUCAGAACCAUUCUACCUGGCAUUUUAUCUUAUUUAGCUGACAGACCACCUCCUCAGUAUAUCCACCCUAAUUCUAUAAAUGUUGAUGGUAAUACAGCAUUAUCUAUCGCCAAUAACGCUUCAGCUCUAGAUCCCUAUCAGUCCAAUGGAAAUGUUGGAUUAGAACCAGGCAUUGUUUCAAUAGACUCUCGUUCUGUGAACACACAUGGUGCCCAAAGUCUUCAUCCCAGUGAUGGCCAUGAGGUGGCCUUGGACACAACAAUCACUAUGGAGAACGUCUCUAGGGUUACCAGCCCAAUCUCUACAGAUGGAAUGGCAGAAGAACUUACAAUGGAUGGUGUUGCAGGCGAGCAUUCCCAAAUCCCAAAUGGCUCCAGAAGUCAUGAACCUCUGUCUGUAGAUUCUGUGAGCAACAACCUUGCAGCAGACACUGUAGGACAUGGUGGUGUGAUACCCAUUCAUGGGAAUGGUCUGGAGCUCCCUGUGGUCAUGGAGACAGACCACAUUGCAAGUCGGGUCAACGGGAUGUCUGACAGUGCCCUCAGUGACUCCAUUCACACCGUGGCCAUGAGCACCAACUCUGUAAGCGUGGCACUCUCUACCUCACACAACCUCGCCUCCCUAGAAUCUGUUUCCCUCCAUGAAGUUGGCCUAAGCCUAGAACCUGUGGCUGUCUCCUCCAUCACCCAGGAGGUUGCUAUGGGGACAGGUCAUGUAGAUGUAUCUUCAGACAGUCUUUCUUUUGUACCACCUUCACUGCAAAUGGAAGACUCCAAUUCAAACAAGGAAAAUAUGGCAACUUUGUUUACAAUUUGGUGCACUCUCUGUGACCGAGCCUAUCCCUCAGACUGCCCUGAUCACGGACCAGUGACUUUUGUUCCUGACACUCCAAUAGAGAGUAGAGCGAGGCUUUCUCUCCCAAAGCAGCUUGUUCUCCGGCAGUCAGUUGUGGGAGCAGAAGUUGGUGUGUGGACUGGAGAAACCAUUCCUGUGCGUACUUGCUUUGGGCCUCUCAUUGGCCAACAGAGUCACUCCAUGGAAGUAGCAGAAUGGACAGACAAGGCAGUCAACCAUAUCUGGAAGAUGUACCACAAUGGUGUCCUAGAAUUCUGCAUCAUUACAACUGAUGAAAAUGAAUGUAAUUGGAUGAUGUUUGUGCGCAAAGCCAGGAACCGGGAAGAGCAGAAUUUGGUGGCGUAUCCCCAUGAUGGAAAAAUCUAUUUCUGCACCUCACAAGAUAUCCCUCCUGAAAAUGAACUGCUUUUUUAUUACAGCCGGGAUUAUGCUCAGCAGAUUGGUGUUCCCGAACACCCAGAUGUGCACCUCUGUAACUGUGGCAAGGAGUGCAAUUCCUAUACAGAGUUCAAAGCUCACCUUACCAGCCACAUCCAUAACCAUCUUCAUAGCCAGGGCCACAGCAGCAGCCAUGGGCCAAGCCACAGCAAAGAAAGGAAGUGGAAGUGCUCAAUGUGCCCCCAGGCUUUUAUCUCUCCUUCCAAACUUCAUGUCCACUUUAUGGGUCACAUGGGUAUGAAGCCCCACAAGUGUGAUUUCUGUAGCAAGGCUUUUAGUGAUCCCAGCAACCUGCGGACCCACCUCAAGAUACAUACAGGUCAGAAGAACUACAGAUGUACUUUGUGUGACAAGUCUUUCACCCAGAAGGCUCACCUAGAGUCCCACAUGGUUAUCCACACGGGCGAGAAGAAUCUCAAGUGUGAUUACUGUGACAAGUUGUUUAUGCGGAGGCAGGACCUCAAGCAGCAUGUGCUCAUCCACACACAAGAACGCCAGAUCAAGUGUCCCAAGUGUGAUAAGCUGUUCUUGAGAACAAAUCACUUGAAGAAACAUCUCAAUUCUCACGAAGGAAAACGGGAUUAUGUCUGUGAAAAAUGUACAAAGGCUUAUCUUACCAAAUAUCAUCUCACCCGCCACCUAAAAACCUGCAAAGGUCCCACCUGCAGUUCAUCAGCACAAGAGGAGGAGGAAGAUGAUGACUCAGAGGAAGAAGAACUGGCAGACUCUGUGGGGACAGAAGACUGUCAGAUUAACAGUGCUGUGUAUUCAGCGGAUGAGUCUCUCUCAGCACAUAAGUAAAAGCCAACUAUUUCGGGUGGAAAAUGCAAAAGGGAAAAACAAUAUACAACCAGUUAUCCACUACAAUGGUUUUUAUAUAAAAUGGUUUCUGAUUUUCUUCCAGCCAGCAGUCGAAUGGGGAUGGAUAAAGCACUUAUAGAAGAGUACCCUAAUGAAAACACUUUAGAACAGAUUGGGAAAAGAGAGCAGCGCUUGUCCUCCCUAAGGGAGUGCCUUGACUCUGCUGCCUUCUUGGAGAACUUCGGGUGAAGAUCGCUCGCUCAUCUGUAAGACGAGGAAAGAAGCCUCAGAGGAAAUAACUCCGCUGACACCUUGAUCUCAGACCUCUGGUCUCCAGAACUGUGAGAAAACUAACUUCUGUUGGUUAAGUCACUCAGUCUGUGGUACUGUAUUGUGACAGUCCUAGCAAGCUCCACACUGGCCAACUGAAGGUGGCGUCUUUCUGAGGAGCAGCUUCCAGAAUAGUGACUGUAAUUGUAACCGUAGCUUUACAAAUUCUCAGGAGCAACGUAAAUGGCAGGAACAGUUCAUAGUGGUAUGUAUUGUCACUGGCAGAUUUCUGUGCUUCUGAAAGGGAUAGAAUCACUUCUUAACUAUGUUUUUGUUUCUUCAUUUUUCUUGCAUAUACAUACUUGAGAGUCAUGAAGUGCCCCCAGGCCCGUGUAGUCCUCAGACAAGGAGAAAGCUUUCUUUUCAAAAACCAUCUAAGUGCCGGUCCAGUGUAAAGCAUUAUAAGGGAACAAAAAUAAGUGGCCAGGACUCUGCCCCCGUCCUCUGGAAACAAAAUCUUGCAGAGACCUGAUUGUGCAGCUGGAUCACCUAAGGAGCUAAGAAAUGCCAGGGGUCCAUGUCAGCCCCAGGCCUGCUUAUAAGUGUACUGGGCUCCCCAGGCCCAGGUGAUCCUGAAGCAGUGUCCACUGGAGCCUUCUGUUGGAGACCAUGGAAGAUACAGGUGCAGAUGUCUAUACCUAAUGCAAGCCAGACCGUGGUUAAUUCCAUGAUGAUCAAAUAACAUACUUUGAAUAAUUUCAGUUCUUUAAAAUUUGUUGAUAUUUGCAUCAUGACCCUGUAUCAGUAGGCUCCACACCCAGAGUAGAGCACAACAUGGGGCUUGAACUCACAACCCUGAGAUCAAGACCUGCGCCAAGAUCAAGAGUUGGAUGCCCAACUGACUGAGCCACCCAGAUGACCUAUGAUUCUGUGUUAAGUUUACUAACCAGCAGAAAACUUUUUUUGGAUUUAGAACCGUCUUUCUACGCGAAGAGUCAGUAAUCAGUGGAACUACGGUCUUCCGUGUUUAUAGGACAAACCAGACUACCUCAAGGUAAUAAAUAAGCAGCCAGGUUCCCCUGAAGGGAAGGGAGUGGUCCUUCAAGGAAAGCUGGAUUUUGUAGGAAGUAGCUGAGAAAAGGCAGAUUAUUCACACUGGGAAGGGGAGGGCUGUUCUUAGAGAUCAUGUUAUAUUUCCUUCCAGCUUUCCCAUAAAUUCAUAUUUUGUCAUAAAUAUUUUUAAAAUGGUCAUUUAAAUUGUGAAGACAAAUUUGUGAACAUGAGCAUCUCCACAUUACAUGUGAUCUUGUCUAUUUCCCCAAGCAGACUACAUUACAGGAUGAACACUAGAUCUACCUCAUGUAUUCAAACCACACAUUUUUCUCGUUUAGAAAAAGGCAGUUAAGAUUUUUUACCU